GACGAACGCUGGCGGCGUGCCUAAUACAUGCAAGUCGAACGCUUUUUCUUUCACCGGAGCUUGCUCCACCGAAAGAAAAAGAGUGGCGAACGGGUGAGUAACACGUGGGUAACCUGCCCAUCAGAAGGGGAUAACACUUGGAAACAGGUGCUAAUACCGUAUAACACUAUUUUCCGCAUGGAAGAAAGUUGAAAGGCGCUUUUGCGUCACUGAUGGAUGGACCCGCGGUGCAUUAGCUAGUUGGUGAGGUAACGGCUCACCAAGGCAACGAUGGAUAGCCGACCUGAGAGGGUGGUAGGCCACACUGGGACUGAGACACGGCCCAGACUCCUACGGGAGGCAGCAGUAGGGAAUCUUCGGCAAUGGACGAAAGUCUGACCGAGCAACGCCGCGUGAGUGAAGAAGGUUUUCGGAUCGUAAAACUCUGUUGUUAGAGAAGAACAAGGAUGAGAGUAAAACGUUCAUCCCUUGACGGUAUCUAACCAGAAAGCCACGGCUAACUACGUGCCAGCCGCCGCGGUAA
rnacentral:rRNA from 1 species